rnacentral:piRNA from 1 species
UAAUGAUAGUGUCUUUUGCCUUACAGAAGU